UGGAAAAUGAAGGCUUCUGUUUAUCCACAAAACAGAGAACAAGCAGCAGCUGUGCAAGCUUCCUUGUGCAGCUUCGGCCCAGUUCUGGAGGGAAAACCUGUAAGGAUGAGAGAGUAGUCCUGUCUUUUUCCCUCUAUGCAGCAAUA
rnacentral:sRNA from 1 species